GAUGAACGCUGGCGGCGUGCCUAAUACAUGCAAGUCGAGCGAACGGACGAGAAGCUUGCUUCUCUGAUGUUAGCGGCGGACGGGUGAGUAACACGUGGAUAACCUACCUAUAAGACUGGGAUAACUUCGGGAAACCGGAGCUAAUACCGGAUAAUAUUUUGAACCGCAUGGUUCAAACGUGAAAGACGGUCUUGCUGUCACUUAUAGAUUGAUCCGCGCUGCAUUAGCUAGUUGGUAAGGUAACGGCUUACCAAGGCAACGAUGCAUAGCCGACCUGAGAGGGUGAUCGGCCACACUGGAACUGAGACACGGUCCAGACUCCUACGGGAGGCAGCAGUAGGGAAUCUUCCGCAAUGGGCGAAAGCCUGACGGAGCAACGCCGCGUGAGUGAUGAAGGUCUUCGGAUCGUAAAACUCUGUUAGUAGGGAAGAACAUAUGUGUAAGUAACUGUGCACAUCUUGACGGUACCUAAUCAGAAAGCCACGGCUAACUACGUG
rnacentral:rRNA from 1 species